rnacentral:tRNA from 1 species
GAGGGUAUAGCUCAAGUGGCAGAGCACAUGCUUAUAAUGCAGGAGGUCCUGGGUUCAAUCCCCAGUACCUCCA